GACGAACGCUGGCGGCGUGCUUAACACAUGCAAGUCGAACGGAAAGGCCCUGCUUUUGUGGGGUGCUCGAGUGGCGAACGGGUGAGUAACACGUGAGUAACCUGCCCUUGACUUUGGGAUAACUUCAGGAAACUGGGGCUAAUACCGGAUAGGAGCUCCUGCUGCAUGGUGGGGGUUGGAAAGUUUCGGCGGUUGGGGAUGGACUCGCGGCUUAUCAGCUUGUUGGUGGGGUAGUGGCUUACCAAGGCUGUGACGGGUAGCCGGCCUGAGAGGGUGACCGGCCACAUUGGGACUGAGAUACGGCCCAGACUCCUACGGGAGGCAGCAGUGGGGAAUAUUGCACAGUGGGCGGAAGCCUGAGGCAGCAACGCCGCGUGCGGGAUGACGGCCUUCGGGUUGUAAACCGCUUUCGCCUGUGACGAAGCGUGAGUGACGGUAAUGGGUAAAGAAGCACCGGCUAACUACGUG
rnacentral:rRNA from 1 species